UUAUUUCCCCAUCACUUCAAAGGGACUUUUCAGAUGUCAGUGGUACAAUUCCCAGCAGUUUACUUUUGUAAAUUCAGUGGGGGGGAAAAAAAAAAAACUUGAAAAGUUCACCACUGCCUUACUCCGGUGUCUCUUGUGUCGAGGAGACAUGAGUGGUUUGGUGUGUGUUUAUUUUUCAUUCUGUCAGAAUUGAUUCCACAAUACAUCCAGUCAGACUGAUUGAUGAUAGAGUGACACCGACAGAAGCAAAUGUUUAAGUCUGGCCAAUUUUUGUGUUCUCUUACAAACAUGACAGAUUUGCUCAAGAUAAUAGUUUAAAAUGUAAGUGCACAAAAAAAUGACAACCUUCAAAAAUGUUUACAAACAAACAUCUCCUUUUUAUUCAUUGAGCACUUUUUUUGCUCAAUAAGGAUGAGGAAGAGCUUUUUUAUGAACUAAGCAACAUCUAAAUCUCAACGUUAUUUUUUUCCUAAUUUUAUAAUGAGUCUUAACUUUGAUUUUAAAGAGCAAAAAUAAGUCUUACUAAUAAUAAUGUUGCUCUUUUUUGCAAAACCACAAUUGCAUUUAUUGCCUCUCAACUCUACACAAUGGCAAAAAUCGGGGAAAACUCAAGGAAUAAUAAAGUGGAAGUAAGGCUUUAUGAUUUAAAUGUCUGCUAAUGCCUUCCGUAAUAAUUGAUGGGGUUUUUUUUUGGCUCCAUAACUCCAACGAAUUUUAUUUCAAAAAGCUGUUUAAUACUGACAUUUCAAAUUUCUUGCAUGAUACCUCUUUAUUUUUUUCUGACCCCAAAAACCAUAAAUGAGGUUUUCUUGAUUUUAGGAGAUAAUUUCUUCUCAUCAAAUCACAACUUUAGAAUUUCUAUCUCUAUUCUGUCACACAAUCGCUCUUUGGAAGUUUUACCUGAACAAAGCAACUUUGUGUCAUCUGCAAAAAUGACAUAUUUUUUCCAAAAUCUUGAACACUGCAAAUCAUGAAUGUAUUG